UACAGAGGGUGCAAGCGUUAAUCGGAAUUACUGGGCGUAAAGCGUGCGUAGGUGGUUUGCUAAGUCAGGUGUGAAAUCCUUGGGCUCAACCCAAGAACUGCAUUUGAUACUGGCGGACUUGAGUGCGGUAGAGGAUGGUGGAAUUCCCGGUGUAGCGGUGAAAUGCGUAGAUAUCUGGAGGAACACCGGUGGCGAAGGCGGCAUCCUGGACCAAUAUUGACGCUGAGGAGCGAAAGCCAGGGGAGCAAACGGG
rnacentral:rRNA from 1 species